rnacentral:lncRNA from 1 species
UGCUUCAAUACAAUUCAACGAGACAAUUCAUUAUACUCAUAAUAAUAAUGAACUAAUCUAUAACACCUCGCAAUCCAAUUCUGAUCACCGAGUUCGAUCAUCGAACCCAAACUACAGAAUAUUACCACAGAUAUCAGAAUAAAACACUUACAAUUUAUAGCAACUAAUUUAAUUUCAUUAUCAAAUCAUAUCAUGAUUCCAUGUAUACUAUGAAAUACAACCAAAACCAAGUGUAAAACGAGCUUAUGAAAAGCUCUAAGGUUGAUCCCGGAUCAAACAAGGACUAAUUU